UCAAACUUGGUCAUUUAGAGGAAGUAAAAGUCGUAACAAGGUCUCCGUUGGUGAACCAGCGGAGGGAUCAUUAUAGAGUUUUCAAAACUCCCAAACCCCAUGUGAACAUACCCAUCUUGUUGCCUCGGCGUGGUAUUAACCUUAAAAACCCGCCGGCGGCCUUAUAAACUCUGUUUAAUAAGAAUAUUAUCUCUGAGUACUAUUUAAAAAAAUAAGUUAAAACUUUCAACAACGGAUCUCUUGGUUCUGGCAUCGAUGAAGAACGCAGC
rnacentral:misc_RNA from 1 species